rnacentral:rRNA from 1 species
UCACGAAACGUGGGUUGUACUAGAAGGUCUGGCAUGCUAACCCGCAAGGGAGGCAGCGGGCCCAAGGUAUGACUCUAUGAUUGGGGUG